rnacentral:lncRNA from 1 species
CACUAGAGCCUCAUGUCCCUCCUAUAUAUAGUAAUAUACUUUAUCAAUCACCAUCAUUCUCACUACCACUCAGCCUAUCUGCAGAGAUGAUGAGGGCUACCGACACUGAAGUGGACGACGAUGACGAUGAUGGAAUCCAAUUCUAGCAUGAAUCGGCCUCUUCAUGUAUUCUUCGACAUUGAAUCAAUGAGUUACCAUGUUUAUAAGUAAUUCCUCUCUUCGUUUAUGCUUUCAUUCUAUUCUUUGAUGUGUCAAUCUGCCUUUUUCCUUUAUAAAAUUCACGUAAACAAUAAAAGAAGUGGAGUCUAAUAAAUUAUAUCUAAUGACUUGUUAUUUUUGCAGUGUGCAUGUUUUGUGGUUUUACUGCAACAAGAAAAGACGGAAGGUCUGAUUCACAUGGAAAGAAAACACUAACUCUUUUGUCUUCCUUUCCUCCGAUGGCAACCUUGAGCUAUCUCGUCUCUUGUUGCAAGAUCAGCCCAUUGCAUGCCGAUCGUAUUUAUCCUUUAAAGUACGAUCACAAUUAUUUAGGAGGUUCAUCAACAUAUAAUUAAGCAACAAUGAAUUGUUUGUUAGUUAUUUUUUUCGAGUCCAUAUACAUAUACAUAUAUAUAUAUAUAUAUAUAUACACACACACACGCUCUAAAUUCUGACCAUCUUUUAUUCAUGUCUUCAUCUCAGGUCUACCACUAGCUUUUUGGAUGACCAAUCACAAGUUUGGGUACCUUCAAAAUCUACCGGAGAUGAACAAGUUUACAGGUGAAUCCUGAGCCUUCUUUGUGAGGAAGCAUGAAAGCUUCAAAGUAAUCAUGGUUUCAAAAAGUAGCAACCUUUAAUGUGGGAGAUAUAGGAAGAAUUUAACAAAAUAAUAAGUAGAAUAUGCCUUGCAUAAUGAUUUAGACUUGGACAAUCAGAAGGAAUUAAUUUGCAUAAGAGAGGACUUUUUUCUGGCCAUUAGCUUCAUAGUGUAAAAUGUAAACUGGUAUUGUAAUACGAAUUUCCAUUUAUUGUCUCGAUUAUUUAAAGUAAAUUCCCACAUUUGUAGCUUCAUCUUUUAUUUGAUAGUUUACCAUAUAAAGAGCAAUUUACUUUAGACUUUUUGUGUUUGCAUCUACAUUACCUAUUAAAUCAUAUAUUUAAGCAGAUGAUCCUCCAUACAGGAAUGGAAUAAGUGAACGUAUCAAAUGAUAAAAGGAUGGCUUUGCUACUGAGACAGAAGCUCACAUACAAGGAUCUGAAUUUUUUCCUUUUAGUUUAAAACUUACUCCUAUAUAUGUUUAACAAAAUAUUAUUUUUGCUAUAACGUUAUCGACUCCUGUAUAUAUGCCAUGAGAUCAUGGGGAAAUUUUGAUUUGAUGUUUGGGAGUUGGAGGGGGAAAUUUGGGACAUCCUUGCUCACAAAGUUGCAUUGUAUAAUAGCAAUCAGUUCUGCCCAAGAUUAAACAGCAAUAGCAAGGUCUGCCAGUUUUACAGUGAGCAACAUGCUUGCAAAAGUCUAAUUGUAUAUUUUCCUCUUUGGUAGCUUUCAGUUUUCUGUCAAAUUCUCCAACAUAAAGUUUGUUGCCUUCUAUGUUUUCCCAACCUGUUUGAAGAGAAAAUGGAAUAAAAGGACUUUAAGUGCCAACAAAAGUAUGAGCAAUUUAACUUCGCACAAGAUAAAAAAUAAUUUAUUAGGAAAGAGAGAAAACAAUAUUUGAUUAAUUAGGCAAGUACAACAAAUAAAAAAAGAUACAUCUCACAAUUAAUUUAUGAUAAUCUCACAAGUAGACUUUCAUACCAAAGAGGGUGGGAAUAAUGAGAAAGAACACAACAAACUUAGUAGGAAAAUCCAUGAAUUAAUUGUAAGGCCAAUCUUAGAUCUUGAUAAACAAGUAGACUAGUCUCGCUGCAUAUCCAAGAUGUGGACGAUAAGAAUAUAUGGGGAUGAAGAAUUUAUUGAUUGAGGCAACUUGAGGGAU